rnacentral:lncRNA from 1 species
CCGAAAUUGGAGGAGGGCAACGAAGAGCUGCCGAGAAUCCGAGUGGGGGAGGGAAGAGAUGGAGUGCGCUUGGCUUUGCUCUCCUGUGUGGACUUCAUUCUUGGGAUCUACAUGAAAGCAAGAUAUCUGCCAGCAUCUCUAGGCCAACAUACUCUGUGGUCGGAGUCCCACAGAAAAGAAGAGAGCUUCUCUUCCCCAGUGCAGCCAGUCAGCAUCCUGGCUGGUUCUCAUUGGCCUGGUUUGGGACCCCUGCUAAGCUCGGAAUCAGUCGCUGAAGACAGGGGGACACAGUGCUCUGACUGGCUAAGGCUGAGUCACUUGCCUACCCCCAGAACUGGAAGUCCGUAGGAGCAGCUGCUGCCGCCACCACUAGAACCACCACCACUGCUGCUCUGCAGGAAGCCAGGAGCUCACACUCUUGCCGAUGCUGCAGUCUGGAAGUCUGAAGUCCCUUGCUGUUGUUGUUGUCACCGCCAGAGCUAGAGUUCAUGAACAUCACGCUGCUGAGGCUCCUGGAGUGCCUGCUGCCGCCACCACCUCUGGAAGAGGACAGCUUGAGCUGGAACCCAGGAGCCUGCACCCACCCGUUGUUUUUACUGCUGUGGCAGCUGCUGCUCCUACCACUG